AAUCGAACCCGGAGAUAGCUGGUUCUCCCCGAAAUAGCUUUAGGGCUAGCGUCGAGGUAAGUUGCGUGAAGGUAGAGCACUGAAUAUGUGAUGGCCCCAUCUCGGGGUACUGAGCAUAAUCAAACUGCGAAUGUCACGCCAACAUGCUCGGCAGUCAGACAGCGGGUGAUAAGGUCCGUUGUCAAGAGGGAAACAGCCCAGACCAUCAGCUAAGGUCCCAAAAUGUAUGCUAAGUGGAAAAGGAUGUGGAGAUGUACAGACAACUAGGAGGUUGGCUCAGAAGCAGCCAUCCUUUAAAGAGUGCGUAACAGCUCACUAGUCGAAUGACUCUGCGCCGAUAAUUUACCGGGGCUAAGCAUACUACCGAAGCUAUGGAUCCCAAGGGAUGGUAGGGGAGCGUUCCAUGAACGGAGAAGUACGACCGAAAGGACGUGUGGAGAUCAUGGAAGAGAGAAUGCCGGUGUGAGUAGCGGAACGUGGGUGAGAAUCCCACGCACCGAAAACCCAAGGUUUCCAGAGGAAGGUUCGUCCGCUCUGGGUAAGUCGGGACCUAAGGCGAGGCCGAAAGGCGUAGUCGAUGGACAACAGGUAGAGAUUCCUGUACCCGUAUAUAUGUGAAGGAAUGACGGAGAGAGGAAGCUGCAGCCAGCGGCUGGAAGAGCUGGUGCAAGCGAGAUAUCGGGAUGGCAGGCAAAUCCACCAUCCGAAACGAGAAGGCGUGAAGCGUACGGAAAGCUACGGCGAGUACGGAAGGCAGUGGAGGAACUUCCAAGAAAAGUUUCUAACGUUAAGUAUAUAUGGCCCGUACCGAAAAUGGACACACAUGGGUGAGGAGAGAAUCCUAAGGUGAGCGAGAGAACUAUAGCUAAGGAACUCUGCAAAAUGACUCCGUAACUUAGGGAGAAGGAGUGCUCAUAGAGAUAUGAGCCGCAGUGAAACGGCCCAAGCGACUGUUUACCAAAAACACAGCUCUCUGCUAAGCCGCAAGGCGAAGUAUAGGGGGUGACGCCUGCCCGGUGCUGGAAGGUUAAGGGGAGGGGUUAACGCAAGUGAAGCCCUGAACUGAAGCCCCAGUAAACGGCGGCCGUAACUAUAACGGUCCUAAGGUAGCGAAAUUCCUUGUCAGGUAAGUUCUGACCCGCACGAAAGGCGUAACGAUUUGGGCGCUGUCUCAGCUGUAGACUCGGUGAAGUCUUAGUACCUGUGAAGAUGCAGGUUACCCGCGACUAGACGGAAAGACCCCAUGGAGCUUCACUGCAGGUUGAUAUUGGGAUUUGAUGCAGCAUGUACAGGAUAGGUAGGAGGCAAAGAGAUGGAUACGCCAGUAUUCAAGGAGCCGCUGUUGGGAUACUACCCCUGUUGUAUUGGAUUUCUAACCGGACGACGUAGAGCCGUUGACGGGACAGUGUCAGUCGGGCAGUUUGACUGGGGCGGUCGCCUCCCAAAGAGUAACGGAGGCGCCCAAAGAUACCCUCAGCUUGGAUGGAAACCAAGCGCAGAGUGCAAAGGCAAAAGGGUGUUUGACUGCGAGACCCACAAGUCGAGCAGGGACGAAAGUCGGGCUUAGUGAUCCGGCGGUGCUGAAUGGAAAGGCCGUCGCUCAACGGAUAAAAGCUACCCUGGGGAUAACAGGCUGAUCUCCCCCAAGAGUUCACAUCGACGGGGAGGUUUGGCACCUCGAUGUCGGCUCAUCGCAUCCUGGAGCUGAAGUCGGUUCCAAGGGUUGGGCUGUUCGCCCAUUAAAGCGGUACGCGAGCUGGGUUCAGAACGUCGUGAGACAGUUCGGUCCCUAUCUGUCGUGGGCGCAGGAAAUUUGAGAAGAGCUGUCCUCAGUACGAGAGGACCGGGAUGGACGCAUCAAUGGUGGACCAGUUGUCACGCCAGUGGCAUAGCUGGGUAGCUAAAUGCGGAAGGGAUAAACGCUGAAGGCAUCUAAGUGUGAAACCCACUUCAAGAUGAGAUUUCCCAUUGC
rnacentral:rRNA from 1 species